GACGGUCACCACGGCAACUGAAGGGCAGCAAAGCAGAGCAAAAAAUGAGUCACAGCAGCAGCUGGUGUGAUGGAAACACUGUGACAGUCUUCAACAAGGACAAAGACACAGAAGCACAGCUGAAGGGAAACUCCAACACUGAGAGAGGAGAGAAGAGGACAGCAACCUGCGGCCGAGGAAAGGAGAAUGAUCUCCGGGGGAAAGCGGCUUCUUUUCUACAAGUUGAUCAACAUUUCUGUCCUGAUCGGAAACGUCUCGCGCCGCGCGGAUAAAGAAGGAGAGGGGGCGGGGUCUGACACCGACUCACCUGUGGAAGUGUACCUGUCUGCUGUAGUCCGCAGAACUUUUCCUGUGAGCAGAAUGAAGGUCUGUCCUAGUGUAACCGCAACUCCCGAGACAGACCUGGCGACCCCCGAGCUCCAGACGCAGGAACUUUCGCGCUGCUCGGUUGCCAUGGAAACGGAGCGUAAACCCUCACUAGGAGACGUUGCAGGGAUGUAGCUGUUAUUAAAAACAACACCCUAAAGAUAAUACUCAUGCACACAUGUAUUAUUCAUGUUGGUCAUGAAUAGAUUUUCUGCACCUUUAUAAUUUUACAAACUUUAUUUGUACCCUAAUCUUCUGACAACAGCAGGUGCAUGAUAAAGAAGAGCUUCAUAGACUGUUUUUUAUUGGUACAUGUUGGGGCUGACACAUUAAAUGUAUGUAAUUUA